AUCCAGCCUUCGUGCUCUCUAUGUGAUUAUGUUUAUGCUAUAAUGGAAGUUGCUGUGUGUCAUGAUCUUUAGGAUUCAUGGAAAUAAUGCACAAACAAUGAGGAAGAAAUAAAUAAGUAGCAAGAAAUACAAGCACUCCAAGAUCAGCCUCUUCACCAACUGCUGGCCUACGAGGAUUUACCCAGUAUAUUUGGCUCGCACACCACAAGCAAUAGAGGCUUGCUAUGAUCAUAAUAAGUUUCAAUGAUUGGUGCGAUUCCUUUCUAGUGAACUUUAAGGAUUUUACCCUGUUGAUGUAAAUAAAGCCUCCAAUUAAGCAAGUGCAUAGGAAGCCAACCACAACGACAGCAUCUGGAUUGAUGGGUGCUUGAUUCUUCCACCAACCAGUGCUCAAUAUCCAGGUAUACACUGAUGAAUGUCCAUUUUCCUCAAACAAGUGAUCUAGGAAAAAGUGUGAUAAACACCCAGCAGCCGCCAACAAUAAGCAUUGCCUCCUUGAAAGGGGCACCCCAGAAACUGAAUCAAGAAUCUUCCUUUGAAGCAAAAUUUUGGAGAGCCAAGAGUACAAAACACACAAGGGAAGGCCCAGAAUCAAGACAUAGUAGAAGGGGUCAUGGAUAUAGUCAGCUAGCGCAGAGCCGAAAAGCUGAGCAGAGGGACCAAGGUUAGAGCCGAGCCACUCGGAGAAAGAACCAAUGUCAGGACCAAAAAAGGCAUUGAUGGUGUAGGUGAGGGCGUGAUGCGGGGUGAAGCGGCCGUUGGUCAAAGUGGUAAGGGCCAGACCGGAGCCCAUGGCGUACAUAAGGUGAGGUCCGGGGCCAGGCAUUAUCUGCUAAGCCUUAGUAACUAAAGUCAGCAGCCGGGAAAGAAGUUGGUGACUUGGUCCUCGCCGGCGCCUUUAAAUAAACUCAUUCCCUUUUUUCUUUUUCUUUUUUUUUUUUCC
rnacentral:misc_RNA from 1 species